rnacentral:rRNA from 2 species
GGAUGAGCUCGGCUUGGAAACUGGGCCUGGCCUUGGAUUGUAGCCUCUAGACAUAGCACCAACGGAGGCGCAGGUGUAAGCCCUGAAAAGAGCAUCAACGUGGGUGAGAAUCCUGUGUUUCAUCUGCAGUCCACCGUGCACGGUGCAUGUCUCAGAGUCGCGUUCCUCGGAAUUGGAGCGUAAAGUGGGUGGUAAAUUUCAUCUAAAGCUAAAUAUAGGCUUGAGACCGAUAGCAAACAAGUACCAUGAGGGAAAGAUGAAAAGGACUUUGAAAAGAGAGUUAAAAGUGCUUGAAAUUGCUGAAAGGGAAGCGAAUGGAACAGUCCUCUGGCUGAGAUUGCUGCAUGCUUUUGUGUGUGGUGUUUCUCAGCUUGUGAGUCAACCUUUGUUCAUGCUUGAGGAUCCAGGUUCACGACGUUCCCUCGCGGGGGGGCUCCUGU